GGGUGAGUAAUACAUAGGUAACCUGCCCCUGUGCGGGGGAUAACAGGAGGAAACUCCUGCUAAUACCGCAUAGCCAUGAGCACCGCAUGGAGCUCAUGCCAAAUAUCCUUUCGGGGAUAGCGCAGGGAUGGACCUAUGGCGCAUUAGCUUGUUGGCGGGGCAACGGCCCACCAAGGCAACGAUGCGUAGCCGGCCUGAGAGGGCGGACGGCCACAUUGGGACUGAGACACGGCCCAGACUCCUACGGGAGGCAGCAGUAGGGAAUUUUCGGCAAUGGGGGAAACCCUGACCGAGCAACGCCGCGUGAGCGAAGAAGGCCUUCGGGUCGUAAAGCUCUGUUGUAAAGGAAGAACGGCGCAUACAGGAAAUGGUAUGCGAGUGACGGUACUUUACCAGAAAGCCACGGCUAACUACGUGCCAGCAGCCGCGGUAAUACGUAGGUGGCGAGCGUUAUCCGGAAUCAUUGGGCGUAAAGAGGGAGCAGGCGGCCGCAAGGGUCUGUGGUGAAAGACCGAAGCUAAACUUCGGUAAGCCAUGGAAACCGGGCGGCUAGAGUGCGGAAGAGGAUCGUGGAAUUCCAUGUGUAGCGGUGAAAUGCGUAGAUAUAUGGAGGAACACCAGUGGCGAAGGCGACGGUCUGGGCCGCAACUGACGCUCAUUCCCGAAAGCGUGGGGAGCAAAUAGGAUUAGAUACCCUAGUAGUCCACGCCGUAAACGAUGGUCACUAAGUGUCGGGGGUCA
rnacentral:rRNA from 1 species